AGAACAGCAGGAGCUCUCUGCCUCUCCAGUUUGAUGGAUGGGAACGACCGGGACCCCACGCUCGAGCCAGAUGAGCUCGAUGGCUAGCAGCCCCGACAACCAUGAUUCCCCAGAGAACAAGAAGGUCUAUCUCAUGGACACCCAGAUUUUGUACGCAAUUUUCUCAACACCAUCGCGUUACCUCACUGCUGGUGGUAUGAUUGCGUACCAGGCUACUUGGUGCUGCCCAUCAAAAUUCGCACGGCAUGAUAGUUUCCAUCAGGAG